AACGAACGCUGGCGGCAUGCCUAACACAUGCAAGUCGAACGAUGGCUUCGGCCAUAGUGGCGCACGGGUGAGUAGCGCGUGGGAACCUGCCCUUUGGUACGGAAUAACCGCGGGAAACUGCGGCUAAUACCGGAUAAGCCCUACGGGGGAAAGAUUUAUCGCCGAAGGAGGGGCCCGCGUCCGAUUAGGUAGUUGGUGGGGUAACGGCCUACCAAGCCUUCGAUCGGUAGCUGGUCUGAGAGGAUGAUCAGCCACACUGGGACUGAGACACGGCCCAGACUCCUACGGGAGGCAGCAGUGGGGAAUCUUGGUCAAUGGGCGCAAGCCUGAACCAGCGAUGCCGCGUGAGUGAUGAAGGCCUUCGGUUGUAAGU
rnacentral:rRNA from 1 species